rnacentral:piRNA from 1 species
UNGAAAGCACUCUUGCUUCCUUUCAGCCU